AUCUGGGCGGCGGAAUUCAGAAUGGUCGGUGCGCGUGUGUUUCGCGACGUGCGUGUGUUCGGCCGUUUGAUAUUUCCGUCGCCAGUGUGCGACACACACACGCAGACGUCGCGACCUGUUCGUCGUCGGUCCCUGCUCGGAGGAGCCGCGUUCGAGUUCGUUGCGGGCACGUUUACGCGUGUUCCGCGGCGAAGGCGUGGCAUUCCGGCCGACUAGACGGACAGUAUGUUGAAGCGGUGGCCGGUGUNNUCCGUUCUUGUGCGCGCGCGCGGCACCCGGUACCGGUCGGCGACGAAUUCUUCGGGCCUCUUUCCGACCCGUCUUGAAACACGGACCAAGGAGUCUAACGUGCGCGCGAGUCGCGGGGUGUCGAGCGUACCUCGGUGCGCUCGUUACGCAUACGAAACCCGUACACGUUGAAGGCGUAAUGAAAGUGAAUGGGGAAGAUGGCGUUCCCGAGUACACGUUUUCGCGGUCAUUGGAACCGUGACCGGGCGCCCGCAUUCCCGGGGCGUCUCAACGGCCCGUCGCGAACGCGGACAGUCGUCUCUUCGCGGGGCGGCUGUCGGUCUGCGACGAACCGAGGCGCACCUAUAGCGUGCACGUUGGUACCCGAAAGAUGGUGAACUAUGCCUGGCCAGGAUGAAGUCAGGGGAAACCCUGAUGGAGGUCCGCAGCGAUUCUGACGUGCAAAUCGAUCGUCUGAGCUGGGUAUAGGGGCGAAAGACUAAUCGAACCAUCUAGUAGCUGGUU
rnacentral:rRNA from 1 species